CAGUCGCCGCGGUAAUACGAAGGGGGCUAGCGUUGUUCGGAUUUACUGGGCGUAAAGCGUACGUAGGCGGACUUUUAAGUCAGGGGUGAAAUCCCGGGGCUCAACCCCGGAACUGCCUUUGAUACUAGGAGUCUUGAGUUCGAGAGAGGUGAGUGGAAUUGCGAGUGUAGAGGUGAAAUUCGUAGAUAUUCGGAGGAACACCAGUGGCGAAGGCAGCUCACUGGCUCGAUACUGACGCUGAGGUGCGAAAGCGUGGGGAGCAAACAGGAUUAGAUAUCCGGGUAGUCCCUGUCUCUUAUAA
rnacentral:rRNA from 1 species